ACUAAAACAGCAAUAAAAACUGCCAGGGGAAAACCUAAAAAGAAAUGUGCAAAACACCAAGACAACUGGAAGACUUCCCCCGAAUAAGGGAAGACUUGAAUUCCUAGAGAAAUAACCACAUCGCUGGAUGGGAAGUCGCAACACCGUCCUCGUAUCAAAUCUGGGCAAAUUAAUCUACCAAAAAACAAAUCCCGGGGAAGCGUUGUCACCUGGUGACAAUCUGUUACAGAAUCUGGCGCUUCACUUUGAGGUUCCCGACGUGCGCGGCAACACGUUGCGAAACAAAACUACGCGCCUGCAACCCCGCUGGAUGGCCCCGCGGCCGGAAGAGCCACGUCGGCUCCGCCCACCUUUGUGUCGUGGGCGGGGCGUUUCCAACCGGCUGACGCGCACGCGCUGGGAGGCCCCGCCCCCCAUCCCGCCUCCCGCGAUAUCGUGUGGUCGGGCAUCAAGCUGUGGGGCGGUCGCCAGCUCGGUUCUUCGGGACCUUCGGGACAGGGCUGGGGAGCCCGCCCAAAAAGGUCGUUUCUCCUGCAGUUUCCAGGUUUUUUCUGGUGCUAGGUCAUUCCUGUAACAUACGUGCUCUAAGAGGAGAGAUCACUAUUGAUGAUGGACAUUAAAAAGCGUAAUAAGGGAAUUUUACAAACAACUCUAUACUUAUAAAUUCAAUAACUCAGAUUAAAUGAACCACCAUCAAAACUACCAAAACUCACCUAAGAAGAAACAGAUAAGCUGAAUAGUUCUAUAACUAUUAAAGAAAUUGAAUUUGUAUUUAAAAACCUAAAAAAAAGGAAAAUUCCAGGCCCAUAUAGUUUCACUGGUGAAUCUUAUCAAACAUUUAAGGACAAAAUAAAAGCCAUUCUACAAAGAAGAUGGAAGAUAACCAUUCUUUCAGAAGACAGAAGAGGAAGGAAAACUUUCCCACUCAUUUUAUGAAGCCAACAUUACCCGAUACCAAAACCAGAUAAAAGCCAUACAAAAAAGAAAACUAUCCUAAUGAAUAAAGAUGCAAAAAUACCAAAAAAAAUAUUAGCAGUUGAAUCCAGCAACAUGUAAAGAGAAAAAUACUUUGUCACUGAGUGUCAUUUGACAUCCC
rnacentral:lncRNA from 1 species